rnacentral:lncRNA from 1 species
AUGAUUUUUCAAGGAAUUAGAAAUUUGCCUUACUUAACCGUAUGCCUGUCAAAGAUUCAGCUUGUAGGCUCAGAUGUGGCCUUUUUACACACAAACAUGCAUAGAUGACACCAGAUUGUGUUCCAUUUUAUUCAUUGCACUUUGUAACGCAUUCAAUCCCUAACUUAGACAUGCUAAAACCUUUAGAUUUGUGGACUGUGGGCUAAAUGCGUUACAAAGUGCAAACCACAAAGACCAUCCAUGUACUUUUGAAAAGCUAGUGAUCAAAUCCAAAAUUUUGGUAAACCACAGGGACCAUCCGUCUACUUUACUCUAAAUAAUAUGAAUAUCUCCGCACAGAAAGCCUAAUUUCUUAACGAAUAAAAUAUGGCAGACUAAUUUUCUUAAAUCCAGACGUGAAAAUACCUUUCAGGUUAAAAAGGAAUUGUAGAUAUAUGUUUAGUUCAACUGGUUAAGCAUAGAGUUUUUAGAGUAACACUGGUUAGAUACCUUUGCUUUUGUUUUCUAUCCUUUAUUUAAUUCCUUCUAAUUCUUCUAUUCAUAAUUUAAAGCCAGUUUCAUAAUUUCCUAGAAUAUGAAUAUGUUUUUUAACAUCAAAAAUUAACUUCUUUUAAUGUUAUUGCGUACAUGUUUUCUAUGUGAUAAAAUAAAUAAACUGCCAUAAAGAAGCAAGGGGAAGAAAAAAGCAGGAAAGUAUUCAUAAGGAAACUUACACGACUUUUGGGGAGGUACAUAAAUGAAGCAUUUGCCAGAAAGUGUAUUCAAUGUCCAUUUGUUGCCACUACAACGAACCAGGGUGAAACAAAAAACGUAAAAGGUGUUAAACAAAGAAAAAACAACAAACCAUUUUAGAUAAGCAUCAAAUGACUGCAACUCGUCUAAUACGUUUUACUACCAAGUUUCAUUGACAAAACAUUUAUAUACAUAUAAUAUGAAUUGAAGCAAGAUGAAAACUUCAUACCUAAAGCAAUCAUAAGAAUCUUAUCAUUGUAGGCUAACCACGGUCCAAUAAUAUGUUCAUACAGGAUCCUUAGUUCAACAUCCUACCCAAAGAUUGUUAUUACUUACGUAUGAAGCCAUUGUCGCAUGCAAAAACUUCACGUUUAAAUUAUAAAAAAAUAAAUUGCGAUCAUAGUUAUCGAUAGCGAAUAGCGACAACAUACCUAUAUGCUGCGUAGCGAUAGCGAUGAAAUAGCGCCCACUAUUUCGUUUUUAGCGAUAAGGUAGUUAAAAAUAUAAGAAAUAAAAAAUAGCUAUCUAUAUAAUAUUUUUAUAUAUAUAAUGUUAAUUUUAUACCUUUUUAUGUAUAAAGUCAUAGUUAUUAAAAGACAUCGCCUCUUGCACCUAGGCCCAUUUUCCAAGCCAGGCGAGGCAAUUGCGCUUUAAGUCAAGGCAAUUGCGCUUUAAUUCUCCAGGUGAUGAUUCAAACGCAAAUUUCGGCAAGAUUCCUAGAUUCCGGAGAGUUUCCGGCAAAAUCCUGUAAAUUCCGGCAAUAUUCCAGCCAGAAUACUACUUUAUUUUAGGAAAACUACUUUUCUACACUAAUAAAUACAUGAUAUUAAAUGUUAUAUAAUAGCUUUUGUUUAUUUUAUUUGAAGAAUAGUAUUACUUUUCAAAUACAUAAAAUAUGUUUAAUUUUUUUUCAUUGUGCGCUCUUUUUUUCUCAGGCCCUCGCUUUUUUUGCGCCUUGCGCCUAGGCCCCAGGCGAGGCCUAUGCGCCUUGAGUGCGCCUUGCGCCUUUAAUAACUAUGUAUAAAGUUAUAAGUUUUAAGGAUCAAAUGUAAGCUAGUGAAAAUAGGGGGGUUAAAUGUUAAAAUACACAAACUAAUUCUACACUUUUUAUGUAAAUUUUACAAGUUUUAGGGACUAAGUGUAACUUAAUGAAAGAUAGAGGGGUUAAAUGUUAAAAUCCAUAAACUUAUUUAACCCUAAAAAGGCUCAA